GUACAGACGUCACAGUGCCGGCCGGUUCGCAGUCGCACGCUGACUCCCACACUAUCCGUUCGUAGGCUGUACAAUGCGCAACCUUUGCCUGAACUUUUCCGCCGGCACUUUCCCGCCAAAGGUUUUUUUUUUAAAUUCAAUUGCGCUUGAGAUUCUUGUGUGUAUGGAUAUUUUUUUGUUGUGACGUGAUUUUAUGUGAUUUGUGAUUGUGCCAUUUGUACCAUGGAAUUUUUAUCUGAGCUUCUCGCGGGAAACUAUUGGAUGGAACAUGGUCACGUCUCUACACAUUCUCUUGAAUGGAUUUUACAACGAUGGUCAUAACGGGAAUGUUGCUGAGUGAGAACGCGCCCGUGACUUCCGCUUCCGGCGCCGCGCCCGCGCAGCAUCCGCGUCCAGCAGACCGGCAACGCUAUAUUCCGCGGCCUGCCCACCAAAGUUCCAGUUAAUAAAGAUUUUGUACACAUAUCUAUAUUAAUUUAUAAUUAAACUAUAAUAACUUUAUUUAUUUAUUUUAAUAAAACCUUUCUUUAAA